rnacentral:misc_RNA from 1 species
AACUUUCGGCAACGGAUCACUUGGUUCUCGCAUCGAUGAAGAACGCAGCGAAUUGCGAUAAGUAAUGUGAAUUGCAGAAUUUUGUGAAUCAUCGAAUCUUUGAACGCACAUUGCGCCCUCUGGUAUUCCAGGGGGCAUACCUGUUUGAGCGUCAUUUCAUUCUUAAAACUUAUGUUUUAGUGUUGAGUUGAUUGUAGUACAAUAACUUGAAAUGAAUUGGCAGAGGCAAUUUUAGCUUUUAUACAACGUAUUAGGUUUUACCAUCUCGUUGGACAAACAAAGUUAGAGAAGCGUCGGCGUUAUAACAAUUAUAAGUUUGACCUCAAAUCAGGUAAGAUUACCCGCUGAACUUAAGCAUAUCAAUAAGCGGAGGCU